AUGGAAGAGUUGGGCACCGUCCCGGGCACGCUUCUUCCACUGGCUCGCCGACCAGGACCGAUGCUGGACCGCCGACCGCUUGGCACGCCGCGGGCUGCAGCACCACCACGACCCUUGCCUCCUGUGCUGCCAGGACCCCAAGACGAUGGACCAUCUGCUCCUCCAAUGCCCCUUCUCCAGGAAAGUUUGGCAUGA
rnacentral:rRNA from 1 species